rfam:Gossypium raimondii chromosome 10, whole genome shotgun sequence.
AAACCAUGAUGAGGGCAUCUUCUUAAAAGAUCCUUAAAUCUCUCCUACGUUAUAAAGUGUCUCAAGAUCAAAUUGGGCAAAAGAAGAGAUAUCAUUCAUCAACUU